AUAUUUGCCUUCCAAGCAA
rnacentral:misc_RNA from 1 species